rnacentral:lncRNA from 1 species
CUUAGCUGUUCGCCGGCUUCGGGCAUCGACGUGAUCGAGUAAUGUAUAACUAGAGGUUACUAUCGCAAGGCAAGUGCUGCCUUUUUAAACCAAAAUCUACGUAGAAAAUUUCGGGCCAUUUUUCGGUUUAGAUCGACUUAGAAAUGUUCAAAACACAUAUUGAUACAAAAGGUUUUGGUACAGGCGAAUUUUAAUGCGCAUUUUGAUAUAAAAACUGCUUAGCCGUGUUUUAAUAUACUUUAUACUAUGCUUAGCCGCUCGCCGGCUUCGUGGAUCGACGUGGAUCGUGUCAAUUAAAACUAGAAGUUACCAUCGCAAGGCAAGUGCUGCCUUUUAAACCAAAUCAAAUUUAGAAAAUUUCGGGCCAUUUUUCGGUUUAGGUCGACUUAGAAAUGUUCAAAACAUUUAUUGAUGCAAAAGUUUUGGUACAGGGCAAUUUUAAUGAGUAUUUUGAUAUAAAAAGUGCUUAGCCGUCCUUAGCCGUGUUUUAAUAUACUUUCUACUAGCUUAGCCGUUCGCCGGCUUCGUGCAUCGACUCAACUAUAAACUAGAAGUUACUAUCGCAAGGCAAGUGCUGCCUUUUAAACUAAAGUCAAAUUUAAUAAAUUUCGGACCAUUUUUCGGUUUAGAUCGACUUAGAAAUGUUCAAAACACUUAUUGAUGCAAAACGUUUUGGUACAGGGCAAUUUUAAUGCGUAUUUUGAUAUAAAAAAUGCUUAGCCGUCCUUAGCUGUGUUUUAAUAUACUUUCUACCACGCUUAGCCGUUCGCCGGCUUCGUGAUAGAGUCAACUAAAACUAGAGGUUACUAUCGCACGGCAAGUGCCGCGUUAAAUUCUUGCGAAAUUAGACAAUAUGGAAUGAUUAACUUAAUCUUUUCGAGCCAGUUUCAACAUGGCAAUAUUUUCUUAUACUUGUAAAUGGAUUUUGCACAUAGAGGUAUAAAAAGAAUGAUAAAUAGUCAGAAUAAAUAAAGGGAAAAAAAUAUUGUGAGUCUGCUACAAAACAUGAGUUCAACUGGAUUUGAACCCAAAUGCUUAUCGAGACAGGCUAAACGACAUACCACUAAGCCAUCAGUGGACG